CUUAGAGUUUGAUCCUGGCUCAGGAUGAACGCUAGCUACAGGCUUAACACAUGCAAGUCGAGGGGAAACGACAUCGAAAGCUUGCUUUUGAUGGGCGUCGACCGGCGCACGGGUGAGUAACGCGUAUCCAACCUGCCCACCACUUGGGAAUAACCUUGCGAAAGUAAGACUAAUACCCAAUGACGUCUCUAGAAGACAUCUGAAGGAGAUUAAAGAUUUAUCGGUGAUGGAUGGGGAUGCGUCUGAUUAGCUUGUUGGCGGGGUAACGGCCCACCAAGGCGACGAUCAGUAGGGGUUCUGAGAGGAAGGUCCCCCACAUUGGAACUGAGACACGGUCCAAACUCCUACGGGAGGCAGCAGUGAGGAAUAUUGGUCAAUGGACGAGAGUCUGAACCAGCCAAGUAGCGUGCAGGAUGACGGCCCUAUGGGUUGUAAACUGCUUUUAUAAGGGAAUAAAGUGAGCCUCGUGAGGCUUUUUGCAUGUACCUUAUGAAUAAGGACCGGCUAAUUCCGUGCCAGCAGCCGCGGUAAUACGGAAGGUCCGGGCGUUAUCCGGAUUUAUUGGGUUUAAAGGGAGCGUAGGCCGGAGAUUAAGCGUGUUGUGAAAUGUAGACGCUCAACGUCUGCACUGCAGCGCGAACUGGUUUCCUUGAGUACGCACAAAGUGGGCGGAAUUCGUGGUGUAGCGGUGAAAUGCUUAGAUAUCACGAAGAACUCCGAUUGCGAAGGCAGCUCACUGGAGCGCAACUGACGCUGAAGCUCGAAAGUGCGGGUAUCGAACAGGAUUAGAUACCCUGGUAGUCCGCACGGUAAACGAUGGAUGCCCGCUGUUGGUCUGAAUAGGUCAGCGGCCAAGCGAAAGCAUUAAGCAUCCCACCUGGGGAGUACGCCGGCAA
rnacentral:rRNA from 1 species